CUACGGGGCGCACCAGUGAGGAAUAUUGGACAAUGGGCGAAAGCCUGAUCCAGCAAUGCCGCGUGUGUGAAGAAGGCCUGCGGGUUGUAAAGCACUUUCGGUUGGGAGGACUGCUUCUAGCACUAAUAUUGUUGGAAGUUGACGUUACCUUCAGAAGAAGCACCGGCUAACUCCGUGCCAGCAGCCGCGGUAAUACGGAGGGUGCAAGCGUUAAUCGGAAGUACUGGGCGUAAAGCGCGCGUAGGCGGCUAGAUCAGUCGGGUGUGAAAGCCCCGGGCGUAACCUGGGAACUGCAUCCGAUACUGUCUAGCUUGAGUACAGGAGAGGAGAGUGGAAUUCCACAUGUAGCGGUGAAAUGCGUAGAUAUGUGGAGGAACACCAAUGGCGAAGGCAGCUCUCUGGCCUGAUACUGACGCUGAGGUGCGAAAGCGUGGGGAGCAAGCAGGAUUAGAUACCCGCGUAGUC
rnacentral:rRNA from 1 species